rnacentral:lncRNA from 1 species
AACUCAACUGGGUUAUUCUUAGUCCAGCAACUCCCAUCCUUCCAUUCGUGCUUUACUAUCUCCCUACAUUUUUCGUACGGACUCCACAUAUCUUCGUAAUGGACUCUAUGAAAAGUUCUCCUCAUAUACCGUUUACCCUUACCCUUUUCCAAAACCUCCAUCAAAAUUGGAGUAUGAUCAGAGCUCCAAGAGACAAGAUGCACAGCUGCUUUCUCCUUGAAGUAGUUUCCCCAGCUACUAUCACACAGAAACCGAUCCAACCUCUCCUCAAUGAUAUGGGAACCAGCCCUUUUAUUUGACCACGUGAAGGGGUAACCAGAGUAACCCAAAUCCCGUAACUCACAAUCUCUAAUUGUUUCCCUGAAAUCAUUAACCCUACUCACACUUUUUUCUUUCCCGCCAAGCUUCUCAUUUAAAUUCAGCACUUCAUUAAAAUCACAAAAGCAUAACCAAGGUAGCGAUGUUAAAGCAGCUAACCUUCUCAACAACUCCCAGGUGUGCCUUUUUUGGUCUGAUUCUGGGUGCCCGUAAAUCCCAGUGCAUCUCCAAUAGAUUCCAUUCUCACUAUGAACAACAGCAUCCACAUGGUGGUUACUGAAGGAUUUUAC